CGCGUGACGUCACGCAACGUCACGUGACAGGAGUACACAGGAAAGAAAAGCUACAAGACACUUGUACUAACUCAAACCAGAACAAGGACCAGAACAAUCUCACGACUAAACGACGUUGAGCAGACUUGGAGCACCUUGAAGCACCUCAGAAGGAGCACCUGGAGGCACGUGGCGUAGGAGACGACGCGAGGACAUGUAACGGCUCAAAUGUUCUGUGUGCACUGCUGUCCGUCAUGAAGAAAAGGCGGCAGGAGGAAGAGGAUGUCUUGUGCUGCUGCGAGUACAUCAACAGACACGGUGAGCGCAGCCAUGUGGCCGCCUGCUGCUGUGACUGUGAAGACCUGGACGAUGUGUGUGACAGGGUUUUCAAAAGGGAACCUCAGAAUCCAGAGUCCCUGUCCCGGGUGGCCGCUGUCUUCAGCGAUCGUCUCCGUGUUCCCUGGCUGUGGGGCGGUGCCCAAAAGGUGGACCCAUCCAUCAUUCCUCCUUUGCUCGUACUCCCAGUGCUGCUGCACCUUGCCGCUGUCCACCCUCUGCUGGGCGUGUUGGUUCUGACCAUCCUGCCGGUCCUGGUGCUGUGGUACUACUACUUCACCCAUCGCAAAAAAGGCCGGACGCUGUUCUUCCUCAGCCUGGCUCUCUUCUCCUUGGCCUACAUGUACUAUUUGUUCAUCAUGGAAGUGCUGCCACGCGGGGAUGUCGGCACUUUUCAGGUUGCCGUGGUAACAGGAGGGGUUUUGCUCACCCUCCUCUGCCUCAUCCAGACCAAGAGAGGCCCGGGCUUUGUGAGGCCGAACCAAGAGUCGCUCCCAGCUCCUCUCAGCGGCGGGACGCCUUACGUGAAAGUAGCUGACCAGAUGGGAUUGUCGCAGGAGGCGGAGCUUAACAGGAAGAACUGGUGUCACAUAUGUGAGGUAUCACGGCCCGCGAGGGCAGGACAUUGUCGAAUCUGUGGCGUCUGCGUGCUGCGUCAUGAUCACCACUGCGUCUGGAUCAAUAGCUGCGUGGGCCAGGCCAACCACCGCAGCUUCCUGCUGACACUGGUCGUCUUCCUGUUGACGUCCCUGUACGGGAUCAGCCUGGUGUUGCGCAGCGUGUGCCCGGCGCAAAACGUCCUCAUCGCCCUGUUCUAUUGCCCUGGGGUCUACGAGGAUUACAGCACCGCCUUGUGCUUCACAAGCGCCUGGUACUGCAGCAUGGUGACGGGCGGCCUGCUGCAUCUGCUCCUGGUGCAGCUCAUCAACAUCAGCUACAACGUGACCGAGCGCGAGGCACGGGCCGCCCUCAGCGACAGAUCUGGCCGCAGGGCCUUCUGGGGCCUUGUCGUCGACACCGGCAUCUACUCGCGUGGUUUCCGAGGCAACUGGGCCGAGUUCAUCAGCCCUGCGGGUGACAGGACUUCGCACUUCUCAACCCAGACCGACGUGGUUGCCAUCCAGUGAGCCUGCGAGGCAUUGAGUGACGCCUGAAUGACAGUCAUUUGGUUAUCCAUCCUGCCGGCACCGCAGCAGCAAGCCAGCUCCUGACGUUCCUGCUCCAGCAGCCUUUCCCGGGUCAAGUGGUCCCGCAGGGCCUGCAGGAACCUUCUCAGAGUGUGGGUGCCAUAGAAAAAGUCAGCCAUCUCCUCCUGAACAUGCCUCCAGCCCUCCAGCUGCAACAGAU